rnacentral:rRNA from 1 species
GAUGAACGCUAGCUACAGGCUUAACACAUGCAAGUCGCGGGGCAGCAUGGGGGUUGCUUGCAAUCCCCGAUGGCGACCGGCGCACGGGUGAGUAACGCGUAUCCAACCUGCCCUUCACCACGGGAUAACCCGGCGAAAGUCGGACUAAUACCGUAUGUUGUCCAUUGACGGCCUCCGAUUUGGACGAAAGGCUUGGCGGUGAGGGAUGGGGAUGCGUCCGAUUAGCCAGACGGCGGGGUAACGGCCCACCGUGGCUACGAUCGGUAGGGGUUCUGAGAGGAAGGUCCCCCACACUGGAACUGGGACACGGUCCAGACUCCUACGGGAGGCAGCAGUGAGGAAUAGUGGUCAAUGGGCGUAAGCCUGAACCAGCCAAGUAGCGUGCAGGAUGACGGCCCUAUGGGUGGUAAACCGCUUUUAUGCGGGGAUAAAGUGGCCCACGUGUGGGCUUUUGCAGGUACCGCAUGAAUAAGGACCGGCUAAUUCCGUG